rnacentral:rRNA from 1 species
CAGUCGCCGCGGUAAUACGAAGGGGGCUAGCGUUGCUCGGAAUUACUGGGCGUAAAGCGUGCGCAGGCGGUUUGUUAAGGCAGAUGUGAAAUCCCCGGGCUCAACCCGGGAACUGCAUUUGUGACUGGCAAGCUAGAGUAAGGCAGAGGGGGGUGGAAUUCCGCGUGUAGCAGUGAAAUGCGUAGAUAUGCGGAGGAACACCGAUGGCGAAGGCAGCCCCCUGGGCCAAUACUGACGCUCAUGCACGAAAGCGUGGGGAGCAAACAGGAUUAGAUACCCCGGUAGUCCCUGUCUCUUAUAC